AUUGAACGCUGGCGGAAUGCUUUACACAUGCAAGUCGAACGGCAGCACGGGGGCAGCCCUGGUGGCGAGUGGCGAACGGGUGAGUAAUACAUCGGAACGUGCCCGGUCGUGGGGGAUAACGUAGCGAAAGUUACGCUAAUACCGCAUACGAUCUGAGGAUGAAAGCGGGGGACCUUCGGGCCUCGCGCGAUCGGAGCGGCCGAUGUCAGAUUAGGUAGUUGGUGGGGUAAAGGCCUACCAAGCCGACGAUCUGUAGCUGGUCUGAGAGGACGACCAGCCACACUGGGACUGAGACACGGCCCAGACUCCUACGGGAGGCAGCAGUGGGGAAUUUUGGACAAUGGGCGCAAGCCUGAUCCAGCCAUUCCGCGCGCAGGACGAAGGCCUUCGGGUUGUAAACUGCUUUUGUACGGAACGAAAAGGCUCUGGCUAAUACCUGGGGCUCAUGACGGUACCGUAAGAAUAAGCACCGGCUAACUACGUG
rnacentral:rRNA from 1 species